rnacentral:pre_miRNA from 1 species
UGUGCACUGGUGGGGUCCCUCAGCCAGGCCUGCACCCUCUUGCAAUCUGGGACCCCUCUGAGGAUGUCGGAGAGCCAGUUUCAGCCCAAUCCUGCAGGCCAGGCUGAGGGACCCCACUAGUGCACG